UACGUAGGGGCCAAGCGUUGUCCGGAUUUAUUGGGCGUAAAGAGCUCGUAGGCGGUUCGGCAAGUCAGCUGUGAAAUCUCCACGCUCAACGUGGAGGGGUCAGCUGAUACUGCUGUGACUCGAGUCCGGUAGGAGAGUGGAAUUCCUGGUGUAGCGGUGAAAUGCGCAGAUAUCAGGAAGAACACCCGUGGCGAAGGCGGCUCUCUGGGACGGUACUGACGCUGAGACGCGAAAGCGUGGGGAGCGAACAGG
rnacentral:rRNA from 1 species